UAUCUUCAGAUAAAAUCUAGACAGAAGCAUUAUCAGAAACGUCUUUGUGAUGUUUGCAUUCAAGUCACAAAGUUGAACAUUCGCUUUCAUAGAGCAGGUUUGAAACACUCUUUUUGUAGUAUCUGCAACUGGACAUUUGGAGCGCUUUGUGGCCUAUGGUGAAAAAGGAAAUAUCUUCCCAUAAAAACUAGACAGAAGCAUUCUCAGAAACUUGUUUGUGAUGUGUGUACUCAACUGACAGAGUUGAACCUUUCUUUUGAUAGAGCAGUUUUGAAACACUCUUUUUGUAGAAUCUGCAAGUGGAUAUUUGGAUAGCUUUGAGGAUUUCGUUGGAAACGGGAAUAUCUUCAUAUAAAAUCUAGACAGAAGCAUUCUCAGAAACAUCUCUGUGAUGUUUGCAUUCAAGUCACAGAGUUGAACAUUCCCUUUCAUAGAGCAGGAACCCCAAUUGUUUUCAAAUUCAAGAAUUCAGAGAAAUCUACUUGUUACAAAAGAGUAGAAUGGAUAAUGGGCACCACAUCCUGAAGUGUAUUUUAAUAAAAAUUCAUGUAAGAUGGUUCAAAAUUUCAUUAACUACUUUAUAUAAAAAGAAAUGCCUGGGAGAAUUCUGUUUCUAGCAGAGUGGCAGACUGAUGCCUUGAACAACCCUCCUAUUACAAAACUGAAUACUCCACAUGAAAACAAAUCUUUUCAAAUGCAUUGUUAAGCUGUGAAGAGAAUAACGAAAGUUCUAAGAAACCAAAAUCUAAAUGAAAACACAAGUCCAGGCAGGCACUGAAAACCUAAAAAAAAAAAAAAAAAACUGAAGAGGCCAAUUGUUGGCAAGCAUGUGGAACAGCAGGAACUCUUCAAGCUGCUGCUGGUGGCGGAGGCCAAGCCACUGUGCUCCCAGAACACAACACAGAAGCCUCCACACUGAAGCAGAGCACAGGUGCCCUGGAGUCUCCACCCCACCCAGGGAUCCUCCAGCAGAAGUGGGUGUGCCCCUGCAUACCUGCAAGUCCCAUAUGCAGACCUACUGUUCAGGGCUGUGGGAUAACAGCCAAAAAUAGGAAAUCAUUUUACUCAUCAAUGGAAAAAUGGUGACACAGUCAUAUAAUGGAACUCAACAAUGACGAUAAAUCAAUGUCUGCCAUAGACAAGAACAUGGAUGUGUUCUGUAAUACUGAACCAAAGAAGCCAGGCUAAAUAGAAUGUGCUGUAUUUUAUAGAAGUCAAAACCAGGCAGAACAAAUC
rnacentral:lncRNA from 1 species